AGAGUUUGAUCAUGGCUCAGAACGAACGCUGGCGGCGUGCCUAACACAUGCAAGUCGAGCGAGAAGUCCCGCAAGGGAUUGUAAAGCGGCGAACGGGUGAGUAACGCGUAGGUAAUCUACCUUUUAGUGGGGAAUACCGUUUCGAAAGGAACGUUAAUACCGCAUGUGGAUCCACUUUUAAUAAGUGUAUCUAAAGGGGGCGUAGCAAUACGCUCUCGCUAAUUGAUGAGCCUGCGUCCCAUUAGCUAGUUGGUAAGGUAAUGGCUUACCAAGGCUUCGAUGGGUAGCUGGUCUGAGAGGACGACCAGCCACACUGGAACUGACACACGGUCCAGACUCCUACGGGAGGCAGCAGUGGGGAAUAUUGCGCAAUGGAGGAAACUCUGACGCAGCGACGCCGCGUGGGUGAUGAAGGCCUUCGGGUUGUAAAGCCCUGUCGGCUGGGAAAAAGGUAGUUGCACUAAUACUGCAAUUGCUUGAUGGUACCAGCAAAGGAAGCACCGGCUAACCCUGUGCCAGCAGCCGCGGUAAUACAGGGGGUGCUAGCGUUGUUCGGAAUUACUGGGCGUAAAGGGCGCGUAGGCGGCUUCGUAAGUCAGAUGUGAAAUCCCCGGGCUUAACUCGGGACGUGCAUUUGAAACUGCGAGGCUAGAGUGCAGUAGAGGAUGGUAGAAUUCCCAGUGUAGAGGUGAAAUUCGUAGAUAUUGGGAGGAAUACCGGUGGCGAAGGCGGCCAUCUGGGCUGCAACUGACGCUGAGGCGCAAAAGCGUGGGGAUCAAACAGGAUUAGAUACCCCAGUAGUCC
rnacentral:rRNA from 1 species